rnacentral:rRNA from 1 species
CAAAGGUAGCAUAAUAAUUUGUUUUUUAAUUGGAAACUAGUAUGAAUGGUCAUACGAGGGAUUGACUUUCUUUAUCUUACUUAAAUUAAUUUUAUUUUUCUGUGAAAAAGCAGAGAUUUUAUUAGUAGACGAUAAGACCCUUUAAAACUUUAUUCAUUAUAGAAGUAUAAUUUUAUUAGGUUUUAAUAGUGUACUUUUUUAAUGAGUUUUGUUGGGGCGACAGGUAAAUUUAUUUAACUUUAUUUUUGUUUUUCACUAAUUAGUGUUUAUUUGAUCCAGAUUUAGUUUUGAUUAUAAGUUUAAGUUACUU